AAAAGGGGGGGGUGCCUAUACAUGCAAGUCGAGCGGACCGACGGGAGCUUGCUCCCUUAGGUCAGCGGCGGACGGGUGAGUAACACGUGGGUAACCUGCCUGUAAGACUGGGAUAACUCCGGGAAACCGGGGCUAAUACCGGAUGCUUGAUUGAACCGCAUGGUUCAAUCAUGAAAGGCGGCUUCGGCUGCCGUUUACAGAUGGACCCGCGGCGCAUUAGCUAGUUGGUGAGGUAACGGCUCACCAAGGCGACGAUGCGUAGCCGACCUGAGAGGGUGAUCGGCCACACUGGGACUGAGACACGGCCCAGACUCCUACGGGAGGCAGCAGUAGGGAAUCUUCCGCAAUGGACGAAAGUCUGACGGAGCAACGCCGCGUGAGUGAUGAAGGUUUUCGGAUCGUAAAGCUCUGUUGUUAGGGAAGAACAAGUACCGUUCGAAUAGGGCGGUACCUUGACGGUACCUAACCAGAAAGCCACGGCUAACUACGUGCCAGCAGCCGCGGUAAUACGUAGGUGGCAAGCGUUGUCCGGAAUUAUUGGGCGUAAAGCGCGCGCAGGCGGUUUCUUAAGUCUGAUGUGAAAGCCCCCGGCUCAACCGGGGAGG
rnacentral:rRNA from 1 species